GAUUAAAGAUUUAUCGGUGAUGGAUGGGGAUGCGUCUGAUUAGCUUGUUGGCGGGGUAACGGCCCACCAAGGCAACGAUCAGUAGGGGUUCUGAGAGGAAGGUCCCCCACAUUGGAACUGAGACACGGUCCAAACUCCUACGGGAGGCAGCAGUGAGGAAUAUUGGUCAAUGGGCGAGAGCCUGAACCAGCCAAGUAGCGUGCAGGAUGACGGCCCUAUGGGUUGUAAACUGCUUUUAUAAGGGAAUAAAGUGGGUCUCGUGAGACUUUUUGCAUGUACCUUAUGAAUAAGGACCGGCUAAUUCCGUGCCAGCAGCCGCGGUAAUACGGAAGGUCCGGGCGUUAUCCGGAUUUAUUGGGUUUAAAGGGAGCGUAGGCCGGAGAUUAAGCGUGUUGUGAAAUGUAGAGGCUCAACCUCUGCACUGCAGCGCGAACUGGUCUUCUUGAGUACGCACAACGUGGGCGGAAUUCGUGGUGUAGCGGUGAAAUGCUUAGAUAUCACGAAGAACUCCGAUUGCGAAGGCAGCUCACGGGAGCGCAACUGACGCUGAAGCUCGAAAGUGCGGGUAUCGAACAGGAUUAGAUACCCUGGUAGUCCGCACGGUAAACGAAGGGUGCCCGCUGUUGGCCUGAAUAGGUCAGCGGC
rnacentral:rRNA from 1 species